UAUUAUGAAGAAGACUCGCCUGUUGGGACAGAGCUUUCUACCCAAUCAGGUUAACGUUUUAAUUAAUAGGAUUAAAACGGUAACAAACAAUCCCAGGCGCUAUCUGGCCCUGAGUCUGAAUAGUUUCUUUUCCCAGGUCUGAAGACAGGCAGCAGCUAGAGCUUUAUAAGAGGCGCCUGCUCCAUUAUUCUCCCUGCCAUCUGUAUACACAGCUUAACGCAUAUGUUUGCAAGACGUUGUGUCCUGUUAGUAACCCAACAACUGCCUUUAGCUUGACAUGUGUGGCGACUUUCACUCAUCAAUGAGCACACUAAAAGCCCUACUUAGAUCGAAGGAUGUUCUUUGCCUCCUUCAGCAAAUUACAGCCCUGCACUGCAGAAAAGCCCACUUCAACACUUCUCCUUCCGAGUGCUGCCAGCAGACUUCUGCUAACUUAGCCGUGGAGUCAGGAGUGACACCCUCUCCCCCCACCCCAGCCCACCCACCCCCUGCAUUUACAUUAACUUAUAGCUCCCUCCCACCCCCACCCGUCUUCCCGAAAAGCAUCGCCUGGGAAAGAAAAAACAAAAUUAAAAACCCCCGGAGCAGCCCCAGCCGUCGUGCCCACUCCUGCCCACCGCCAAAGUCCACCUUGCUUCCUUGGGAGGCGGGUGGUCCCCAGUCCUCCCUCUCCCCACCCCCCAUCCAACAAACGGAGACCAAACUACGGGGAGGUUCCCCUCCUCCUUCCCUUAUCCCUUUUCAAGCAGCAGAUUGCUGCUUGCGAGUGAUUAUCCCCCGUGUCCCUAUAAAAAACAUAAAGCCCCAUCAGUUACCUUGAAAAUGAACGGAUCUGGAGAGGAGAGAGGGUGGGAAGAGAAAGGGCAAAACCCACCAAACUUUUUAAAAUUGAUUUUUUAUUGUGACUGACCAACUCUUUGCAGGUCCGUGCUCUCCUGCCUCCCUCCAGCGAGCCCCACUCGGCGGGAGCACCCCCGCUCUUCUCCCCAACGCCGGGAUGCCGCCGCCGGUGUCAGGGCGAGGCGGCCUCAGCCAUCCGGUUACCCCGACCCCCUGCUCCUCUCCCGGGGCUUCUCCUCGGAGCCGGGCACACUCUCCUCUGCACUCUUCCAAAAGCUGAAGUGGAAACCCAAGGGAAAGAAAGGACCAGGCGACAACAGAAAACGUUUGAAUUUUCACCUGGAAAGAAUGAAAAGAAGCCAAGCUGCAGAUUUCAGAGUAAUUGACUGAGAUUUCAUCAGCGAGGACAUGACUACAAUACAGACCUUCCUCACCUCGUGUCUCCGGAUCAGAGGCGAACAUACAAGCCGAGCCCUCCGAAGAGGGAGGGUCUCACCCCCCGCCCCCCAGCCCCAUUUGGCUGCUGCGCUUGUCCCUGGUCGCCGUCCAAGCGCACAGUCACCGAGCGCCUCGCUCCCCUCCCUCUUUCCAAGGGAGGGAUGUCACCGUUAACCUCUAUCAUUAUUAAUCCAAAGGCAUUUUAGGUUUAUUGUUUUUCAAUUAGCAACUUCAUUUUCCCCGGGAUCAUAAACAAAGGGCUUUAUAUUCGCGACAGGGGUUUGGGUUUUCUUUAUUAUUAUUAUUUAAUCUGUUUAAUAUCCAACUUGUAAAACUCGUGUGGUCACUUAAGGAUGACGGAUACUGUUAUUAUAAUUUGAUGGCUAGUGAGAACAUUUCAUUCCCUUCAUUUCUUCCGAAAACAGAGGGCUCCGGCUUGAUGUCUCCCGCUGAUCUGUGGGUUCACUAGCACUGUCUCCCUUGUUUUUUCUGCAGCUUCGGAGACGAUGUACACUGCCUCUCCGCGGGCAGCGGGGCCCCUUGCCCCGGGGCUGCGGCCGCCGCGGUUGCCCCGAGAGGCGAGGGGUGCUGCCAGGCCGCGCCGUCGGGGCGGGGGGACGGGGGCACCGCGGCGACUUCCGCGGCAGCCUCCUUUCCUCCUCGGCUGCGUUCGCUCAGAUUUGCCCUCUGCUCCUGAAAUCUCCCUCUCCGUCUAAGCUUUUUCUGCUCUUCCCUGUCCACCGGUCAGUCUGCAUGAUCUGCCCCUGGAUCUGUUCGUAUGCUUGCACCUGCUUCAGCCCGUCUUUUCAACCACCUCUCUUUUCCUUUUAUUGCUUUUCAUUCUUUCCUUCCCCUUUCUUUCUGGGUCUGUCCCCUAUUCUUGAGACAUGAAUGUAUCCCUUCAUCUUCCUGAUGCGCUCAUCUGUGACUUGUCAAUCUCUAAAGAUGCCAACUUUCUUUCAAACUUUACUUUGUGGGAGGUGUGGGAGGGAGCUGGGAGAGCAAAGUGGAGGAGGCUAAAAGAGAGCCCCUCUCGCCUUCCCUGGACCCGCCUGUUGUGAUCUACCUCUCCCCACCUCACGAAGAAGUGGCUGUUUAAUAGUCUAUGGGAACUUUAGUUUGGAAGCAAGCAGAAGAAUUUAUAGAAGCUUUAAAUGCGGCGCUUAUAAAAAUACCGAGGAAUGGUCUUUGAGGUUUAUGCACUCGUAAACUUUUGCUGAUUGCUUCUGGGAAGUUGUCAGGCAUUUAACACUGCGUUUAUCUUACAGCGCAAUGAAAACACAUCUGCCCAGCGUCUCGUUACCUGGUUUAAUUGUACCGCAGCCCUCUGCCACCAGCUCCUCCACACUUGGGUCAUUAUUUCGGGAAAUGAGCAGCACGGAGCCGAGCUGCAGAAGGGCUGCGCCGGCCGCCCCGGAGCAUCCCCCAGGCUCCGCUGUGAGCGGCCGGGCACGGGCCGUCCCGGGAGGGGCGGGAAGCAGGGACAGGGGGGCAAGGACGCUGGAAGGUCCCAGGAUACAGAUGAGAGCGGACAGCACGGCGAUUGCUGAUUUUCUGUGGCGUCUCUUGCAAGAUCUGCUCGAGAGUUAUUUUGUUCCGCUCCCCACCUGUGAGAGAAGUAAAAUACCCUUUUCCCUCUCCCCAGGGUUGGAUUUGCAGAAAAGUUUCCUUGAUAAAAGACACUUUCCAGUUUUUCCCGUCAGACGCCCAAGAGCUGAAUGCAGACAGGUUUUAGUCAGGCGAAGUUAGCCUCUCCCUGCCUGCUCUGAGCAGAGGUACGGCGUGUGCCUGCUGCAGCAGGACGGCCCCGAAGCAAGAGGAGGGCUUGGGAUCUUCUGCAACUUCCCGGUCCUUCUUCCAGUGGUUGAGCCCCACGUCUCUUCUGCCUCCGACACGCUGAGCCUGGUGGAGAUCAGAGCCGAUCGCCGAGUGCAGCAGGGGCAGCCCCCCAUUCAAGGUCUUCCCGGCUUUUCCAGCACUAAGUCAAGCUUCAGAGAGCGCUUUCGUUCGCCGUAACUGCAGCUGUGUUGUCUUCUCUGUGAAGAAAACUUUAUUUAAGUUCAAGGUGUAGAAAAAACACAGUAAAAAUAAAUAAAAUUACCCUCCCCACUGCA